rnacentral:rRNA from 1 species
GCAUAUCAAUAAGCGGAGGAAAAGAAACCAACAGGGAUUGCCCUAGUAACGGCGAGUGAAGCGGCAACAGCUCAAAUUUGAAAUCUGGCUCUUUCAGAGUCCGAGUUGUAAUUUGCAGAGGGCGCUUUGGCUUUGGCAGCGGUCCAAGUUCCUUGGAACAGGACGUCACAGAGGGUGAGAAUCCCGUACGUGGUCGCUAGCUAUUGCCGUGUAAAGCCCCUUCGACGAGUCGAGUUGUUUGGGAAUGCAGCUCUAAAUGGGAGGUAAAUUUCUUCUAAAGCUAAAUACUGGCCAGAGACCGAUAGCGCACAAGUAGAGUGAUCGAAAGAUGAAAAGCACUUUGGAAAGAGAGUCAAACAGCACGUGAAAUUGUUGAAAGGGAAGCGCUUGCAGCCAGACUUGCUUGCAGUUGCUCAUCCGGGCUUUUGCCCGGUGCACUCUUCUGUAGGCAGGCCAGCAUCAGUUUGGGCGGUGGGAUAAAGGUCUCUGUCACGUACCUCCUUUCGGGGAGGCCUUAUAGGGGAGACGACAUACCACCAGCCUGGACUGAGGUCCGCGCAUCUGCUAGGAUGCUGGCGUAAUGGCUGUAAGCGGCCCGUCUUGAAACACGGACCAAGGAGUCUAACAUCUAUGCGAGUGUUUGGGUGUCAAGCCCGAGCGCGUAAUGAAAGUGAACGGAGGUGGGAACCCGCAAGGGCGCACCAUCGACCGAUCCUGAAGUUUACGGAAGGAUUUGAGUAAGAGCAUGGCUGUUGGGACCCGAAAGAUGGUGAACUAUGCUUGAAUAGGGUGAAGCCAGAGGAAACUCUGGUGGAGGCUCGCAGCGGUUCUGACGUGCAAAUCGAUCGUCAAAUUUGGGCAUAGGGGCGAAAGACUAAUCGAACUAUCUAGUAGCUGGUUCCUGCCGAAG